GGUUCCACAGGCGAUGGGGUUCGCCUGAACUACCGCGCGAGCGGUUGAUAACCCCUACCUGAAC
rnacentral:ncRNA from 2 species